AAGUCGUAACAAGGUUCCGGGAGCGGCCAGAAAUCCUUCUCAACCCCCUCUAUCGAAGCCUUGAAUUAGUAGUUCACUCAAUUGAAUCCAACUCAAUCAAGUGAGCAACACCGGAGAUCUGACUGGGAGUCUAGGUUUAAGCCUAGCUACCAGCAGCCCUUUAGACAUUAAUGUAUGCUAAUUGGGUUCACAGAUCAAUUACUGGUGGCCUAAACUCAUUCACGGAUACUCAUCUCUCUGCUGGGCGCUUUGGUGGACUCUUGCUUCGGUAAGAUAACCCAAUUCUCCCUUGAUAACUUUUUGAACAUGGAGGCUAACUGGUUGUUUCGUUAGUUGUGGACCCUGCAGUUCAUGCCCUUUGGUCAAUGCUUCGAUGCACUUGCUCAAAUAUUUAAUUCAAACAACUCUCGAUCUUGCAAGGACCGGUAAUCAGUUGUCCCAAUUCACGUCUGAAGAGAUGAGCGAGCGUUUAAGAGAAUAAUUAGGUUAAAAUAUGACCGGNCCUAUCCAGAUAAUGNAUAGAAAAUUGUGUUCCGUAGGUGANNCUGCGGAAGGAUCAUUAAAGGNUUCGGGUACCCAGUGCCCAAACUUCAACCCUAUGUUUUAACUAAACCUGUUUCUUUGCCGG
rnacentral:rRNA from 1 species